rnacentral:rRNA from 1 species
GCCCAGACUCCUACGGGAGGCAGCAGUGAGGAAUAUUGGUCAAUGGGCUUACGCCUGAACCAGCCAAGUCGCGUGAGGGAAGACUGCCCUAUGGGUUGUAAACCUCUUUUGUCAGGGAGCAACGCCGGCUACGUGUAGCCGGACUGAGAGUACCUGAAGAAAAAGCAUCGGCUAACUCCGUGCCAGCAGCCGCGGUAAUACGGAGGAUGCGAGCGUUAUCCGGAUUUAUUGGGUUUAAAGGGUGCGUAGGCGGGCUUUUAAGUCAGCGGUAAAAAUUCGGGGCUCAACCCCGUACUGCCGUUGAAACUGCAUCCCUUGAGUGCGCGAGAAGUAUGCGGAAUGCGUGGUGUAGCGGUGAAAUGCAUAGAUAUCACGCAGAACUCCGAUUGCGAAGGCAGCAUACCGGCGCCCGACUGACGCUGAGGCACGAAAGCGUGGGGAUCGAACAGGAUUAGAUACCCUUGUA